UUCACCCACUACUUUUCUUCGUUGAAGAAUGUAGAUUGUGUUUAACGAAAAAAACAAUCCAAUUACUAGUGGCACGAUUACCAUUCCAAUUAAUGGAAAGUAAGGAUAUUUUCUCAAAGCCACCAACGAAGUCGCACUUAUGGAGAACAACCAUAUUAUAACGAUAGCAAUGACGAAUGGCAACUUUUUUCUGUUUUGUACCAGCUCUUUGAGUGGAAAUGCAAUUCCGUAGUAACGCUUGAAUGCAAUCAAUGACAUUGUGUAAGCACUUAUGAAUCCCGACAUUAUGAUUAUUGAGCCUAUAAAUCUACGGCAAUUAAAAGUGCACGACGACUCUCCAUAUAUUACGACUUGCAUUAGACAUGAAAGAAUAAACACUUCGUCACUCAGCGAUAUAUUAGCGUACAAAUAUUUGAUGAUCGUUCUUUUACCAAAUUUUUUGUUCGAAAACACAUAAAUGACAAUUAUGUUUGUGAAUGCUGAAAAUAUCGUCAAAAAGCUGAUGAUUCCUUGGACUGUACGAUGCAGAACCAUUUCCGUCGUUGUAUAAUCAUAUCGACCAAUAAUUAGCGGACCUAACGUUUCAUUCAGUGUGUUGUUGUUAUUGUCUUUACUAUGAAUCACAUACUCGGCCAUAUUUUCAUAUAAGAAAAAGUCUGCCGGCGCGGUAAUUAUGUUUU